GCGGGAGUAGUUCAGCGGUAGAACACCACCUUGCCAAGGUGGGGGUCGCGGGUUCAAGUCCCGUCUCCCGCUCCA
rnacentral:tRNA from 1 species